GGUUAUCAGGAUGGCUUCAAAAUUGACCACGAAGGGACAAGGAAUUAAGGUGAUUGCUGGGAGCCUUGGGGAAUGCCAAAGCCUUGCACAUCAGAGAACACCAAGCGGCCGCUACAAUAAGGAUGUGUUAAAAGGACAAGAUGAAGGAAGAAAAAGAUGGAGAUGAAUAAGACGUACGCUGUGGAAACCAGGCAACAGCAGACAGAUAAGACCUGACACAGACGCAGGAAGAGAGGCCAAAGAAUACACGAUGAAGAGAACUUCAACACAGAGAGAACACGGAGCACUGUGGAAGAUGCUGAUGGCCUAUACAGCAGGAGGUUUAUUAGGCAUAAGUAAAUAACAGGUGGGACUGUGCAUCAUACCACAAAGGUUAAGAAAGAUCCCUGCAUUAGACGCUGAGGAGGACAACAAGGGAGAAUGACGUGCUCUGCCUGUUCAUCCUGCAGCUGCGUUGGAACGAGAGAGUGAGGGGUGA